rnacentral:rRNA from 1 species
CGAAGGAUUCGAGCGUUAUCCGGAUUUAUUGGGUUUAAAGGGUGCGUAGGUGGACUAAUAAGUCAGUGGUGAAAGCCCGCAGCUUAACUGCGGAACUGCCAUUGAUACUGUUAGUCUUGAGUACAGUUGAGGUGGGCGGAAUGUGUCAUGUAGCGGUGAAAUGCUUAGAUAUGACACAGAACACCGAUUGCGAAGGCAGCUCACUAAGCUGUAACUGACACUGAGGCACGAAAGCGUGGGGAGCAAACAGGAUUAGAUACCCUGGUAGUCCACGCCCUAAACGAUGAUUACUCGAUGUUGGCGAUACACAGUCAGCGUCUAAGCGAAAGCAUUAAGUAAUCCACCUGGGGAGUACGACCGCAAGGUUG